AUUCUGCCCAUGCGGGGAAGGAUGAGAAGCUUCGACUAAGGUUCGGCUCGAGCGCCAGCGAGAGAGCGUUGCCGCAGGCAACGACCCGAAGGGCGAAGCGCGCAGCGCUGAGUAAUCCUUCCCCCA
rnacentral:sRNA from 1 species